GCCAACGUCCAUACCAUGUUGAAUACACCGGUUCUCGUCCGAUCACUGCAGUUAAGCAACAUCGGGCGCGGUCAGUACUUGGAUGGGUGACCGCCAGGGAACACCGCGUGAUGUUGGCUUUU
rnacentral:rRNA from 1 species